rnacentral:misc_RNA from 1 species
GUCUAUACAAAAUGACUAAAGCAUAUUUCUGAAGCAGCAGUUCUGUGAUCCACUUUCAUGGUUUUGCCCUACACUGAUCUGAGUAAAUCAAAGCAUAGUGUGCGUUUGCCCAUGCAUUAUGAGUCUUGCCUUCUAUAUUUGCUAGCCAUCUAAGUCAUAUGAUGCAUGAAACUCUUAAAGGCUCCAUAUGAAACGAGGCACCACAUGG